UUGUGUUUUAUUUUUUUAAGAGAUAAAACAAAUAGAAAUUGGAUUUUAUUUCUGGGUUUUUUGAGGAUUGCUACAACAUGGGUUGGUUGAGGUUUUGAGUAGUUAUGAAGCUUAUUUGCUGAUUUGACUCUGUCAAGAAAAACUGGUUUUGAUGAGUUCAUCUGAGUUUGGUGUUGAGAGUCCUUGUUUGUCUCAUCAAUCUUAUUUUUAAGUGCCCAUAAUGAUACUUGUUUUUAAUUAAUUAAUUUAAAUUUGUUUAGAUCUCUGUUUAUGUAUCUGUUAACCAGUUUCAUUUCCCUGAUACAAAGAGUUCUUGUAGAAAACUGAUUUUAUCUUUUAAAAAUGAAGAUUCCAUGUCUUGUAGCUGAAUUGAGUCGAGAAGUUUCACAAUUUUGUGUCUUUCUAGCACUUAAUUUUAACGAGUCACCCCUAGAUCUGCUAUGUCAAGAUGGAAGUCUCACACCAUAGAUUUGCAAGCAUCCAUCUUGAUCCUUGCUUGAGCAUAUUAGAGUUUGAAAAUUAUGAAGUUCAGAAAAGGGAACUUGGUGGAGGUUUUAAGAAAAGAACAUGAUCCGUGUGGCUCCUGGUUUACUGGUAAUAUACUUUCAUCAGAUGGUGACAACUAUAUUGUUAGGUACAAACUGCUUAUGGACCAAGAAAGAAAACAAGUGGUGGAGAAGGUGAAGGGGAAGGAUGUUAGACCCCUGCCUCCAAGUGUAAAUGGGAAGAGUUGGGCAGUUGGUGAUAUGGCUGAGGUGUUUGAUAUUCAGUGUUGGAAGGUGGGAAAGGUCGCAAAGGUGUCAAAGAACAAUGAUCGAUUUGUCAUUAAGUUCUUUGGGUCCAUCCAACUUAAGGAAUUUCAUGCAUCAUGUUUAAGGAUUAGGCAGGCUUGGCAUGGCAAUAAGUGGAUGAUGAUUGGGAAGGUUGCCAAGGGUAAAGACUUAGCCAACAAUUUUACACCAAAAAUUCCAUACCAUGCUGGUGGCUUGCUUUUGAAGACUUCAUUACAUAGAAGCAAAACUUUACUAUCUGGAAGGAAGUAUAGAGUGGGACAACAUGACGGUGGGGCUGAUAAUGUCACCAAGUGUCUGUGCAUGAGAGCCAUAAGUAGAGGCCAUGCCCAUCAAUCUGAAGACUGCAAUAUGGAUCCGCUCUUUGGAGGAACCCUCAAGAAAAGGAAAUCACCUCCUUGUUCUAGAGGCUGUGAUGAAACUCUUAAGGGAGCACUUCCUUUGUUUAAACAGGUAGAUGAUAUUUCUUGCCCACAUAUAGGGGUUGAUGAAAAAUUCAUUAAGCAUUCAACUAACAGGAAUAACAGAAUGGAAGACAAAACUCCUCACUGUUUAUUUGAUUCUUCUAGGCCUGUUUGGUCUACUGAAGUUAGUGACCAAUGCUCAGUUGCUAGCUGUAGUUAUAACGGUGUUGCUAACUAUGCUGGCCAAAUUUCUCAUAAAUCAUCAGAAAAUACACCUGAUAAUUCUGAUGCUGAAUCCUCAUUCCCUUCUUUGUGUGGCCAAAGAGACUUACGCUUGUCCCCUGUUGACAUAGUUGUCGAUGUCCAUGAACUAGAACUUCAUGCUUACAAGUCAACCGUGGAGGCAUUGUAUGCUUCAGGUCCUUUAACUUGGGAGCAGGAGUCCUUGUUAACAAAUCUCCGCCUCUCCCUUAACAUUUCAGAUGAGGAGCACCUACUCCAGCUGAGACACCUUUUGUCUGCUCAAGUUCUGUGAUGUUGUUUAUGUCUCUGUUUCUUGCCAAGUGAAUGGAUUUAAUUGGUUUGAGGCUUAACCGCUCAACCAUGGAGAGUGUUGAGAUCUGUGAGCUAUUGCAGCUAAAUCUCUUGCAGGUGGCAUCUUAUGACCUUAACCUUCCGAGUGUAUAUAACGUGUAAAUUAUUUUGAGGAAUUGAGUUUUACUUGUUGAUGCUUUAGAGCCAAUAACAGCAAUUCACGUCUCAUAAAGCUUGCUGAUGCCCGAAAGCCUGAUGCAUAUAGAAGUAAUCAUUACAGUGCUCCAGCUGUGAUGCUUUCUUAACUUUCGUGCGAGAGGAAAGCAGCUUCUACUGAAAUAACUACAUAAAUAUGAGUUGAAAGUUAAUACCAUGGAUUUUCAUUUCAUGAAUAGAUUUCAGAGAUGCAUUCAUUUACACCCAUAUCAUCGUUUUGCUAAUUCCUCACGGUAAUUGUAUGAUUUUGCAAACCCUCUUUUGGCCUUUCAUUAUUUGGCUCUUAUGGAGAGAAAUGUAAAAUGUGGAAAUAACUCGGGGAAGCGGCUACACCCCAAAACGGAAAUAGAAGGGCAAAACAAGCACAACCAUGAUCUGUUUGGAAGCGCUCAUAUCUGCAGUAGAUGAUGUAUCUGAUAUACAAAUUUCACCCGAACAUAAAAAGUAAAUUGUACAUUCAAUUUGAGCUAUCCAAAAAUUUUGUUAUUGCACACUGUGGAAACUGUCAAUUGAAUAUUUGUUAAGAUAA